ACUGGAAUAACCAGACAAGCAGAUGCACGUGACAGAAACAGAAUCCAGAGGCUAUUGAUAAACAGGUGAUACAGGUCACAGCUGUACCAGGAACGGCCGACGGUGUGCUGGAAUUCAGGCGGGUGCGUAGCGCGUAUGCAACCAGCCCCGACCAGGCGGAUAGCCGGUGGAAACGCCGGAUAAUACGCCAUGAGCCCGGAGGGGGGCAUCCCCAGCCGGGCAAAGCGGAUACGCGGGACGGGACGGGCAUGCGUGCCAUUAGCUUGUUGGCGGGGCGACGGCCCACCAAGGCUACGAUGGCUAGGGGAUCUGAGAGGACGGUCCCCCACACUGGUACUGAGACACGGACCACACUCCUGCGGGAGGCAGCAGUAAGGGAUAUUGGGCAAUGGGGGGAACCCUGACCCAGCCAUGCCGCGUGAGGUAAGAAUGCCCUACGGGUCGUAAGCCUCUGUUACACGGGGACAAGGACGGCGUCGUGAACGCCGUUUGAGGGUACCGUGGGAAUAAGCGUCGGCUAACUCCGUGCCAGCAGCCGCGGUAAUACGGAGGACGCGAGCGUUAUCCGGAUUCAUUGGGUUUAAAGGGUGCGCAGGCGGCCGUGCAAGUCAGCGGUGAAAGCCCGGGGCCCAACCCCGGAAGUGCCGUUGAUACUGCAUGGCUUGAAUGCGGUCGAGGCGGGCGGAAUGUGGUGUGUAGCGGUGAAAUGCAUAGAUAUGCCACAGAACGCCGAUAGCGAAGGCAGCUCGCCAGGCCUGCAUUGACGCUCGGGCACGAAAGCGUGGGGAUCGAACA
rnacentral:rRNA from 1 species